CUGAGAAUAUAGAUCUCCGACCACUGACCAAACUCCACUCCAAGCAGUCCCGAGGGCUGCUCUUCCCCUUGCCCAUGGAUGCCUCCGCUCAGUCUCCGGAUCUGCCAGGAUCACACCGAAACUUUUGCACCAGAGCAGCGUGCUCAUACUUGCACAAAGUGGAUUUUGCACAUUUCAACCUUAACAUCAGCAGCUCCCUUUCUCCACGCGGAAUGGGAAGGACCAUCGGGAAUAACCAGGGUGUGCAGAGUGCCUGAAUAGCCUGUCUUGUCCCCAGUGUUCUCAAUUGCCAGAGCACAGCAAGCGCCAGAGGGAGCAAAACAGUCCCCAGGAGCUCCACCUCCACAGCAGCUUCAAACCCCUGCAGCCCGUGGCCACCAUGGCACUCUCCUAUGCAACACAGCCAUCCUGUCUACUGCCACAGAAACAAAAAAACACAGCAGAAAGCAAGGUACAGGCACGUUGGAGCGUUCUACAUGCAAAGUUUGUUGUGCGGGGGACAGCAAGGGGAGGGGAUUACACGUCUCCACAGUCUCAUAAACCCAUGCCCAGGACACUGCAGUGCCAACUGCCUGGCUCCUAGCUAACAAACAACAUGGCACACUGCUAAUUAGCCGCUGAGUAUUCGACCUAUGUCUCCAAGACAGGAUAACACUAUUAUUUGUCCCUUUACACUCCUGCAAGGCCCAGUGCCAUUGGCCGCUUGUAUCAUAAAGAAAUUAAAAUAUAUUAUGACCAUAAA